rnacentral:rRNA from 1 species
AGUGAACGCUGGCGGUAGGCCUAACACAUGCAAGUCGAACGGCAGCACAGUAAGAGCUUGCUCUUACGGGUGGCGAGUGGCGGACGGGUGAGGAAUACAUCGGAAUCUACUUUUUCGUGGGGGAUAACGUAGGGAAACUUACGCUAUUACCGCAUACGACCUACGGGUGAAAGCAGGGGAUCUUCGGACCUUGCGCGAUCGAAUGAGCCGAUGUCGGAUUAGCUAGUUGGCGGGGUAAAGGCCCACCAAGGCGACGAUCCGUAGCUGGUCUGAGAGGAUGAUCAGCCACACUGGAACUGAGACACGGUCCAGACUCCUACGGGAGGCAGCAGUGGGGAAUAUUGGACAAUGGGCGCAAGCCUGAUCCAGCCAUACCGCGUGGGUGAAGAAGGCCUUCGGGUUGUAAAGCCCUUUUGUUUGGAAAGAAAAGCAGCAGGUUAAUACCCCGCGGUUCUGACGGUACCCAAAGAAUAAGCACCGGCUAACUUCGUG